GACGAACGCUGGCGGUGUGCUUAACACAUGCAAGUCGAACGGUAAGGCCCUUUCGGGGGUACACGAGUGGCGAACGGGUGAGUAACACGUGAGUAACCUGCCCUCAUCUCUGGGAUAACAGUCGGAAACGGUUGCUAAUACUGGAUAUGAGCUUGCAAGGCAUCUUGUGGGUUGGAAAGAUUUUUUGGUUGGGGAUGGACUCGCGGCCUAUCAGCUUGUUGGUGAGGUAGUGGCUCACCAAGGCUUCGACGGGUAGCCGGCCUGAGAGGGCGACCGGCCACAUUGGGACUGAGAUACGGCCCAGACUCCUACGGGAGGCAGCAGUGGGGAAUAUUGCACAAUGGACGGAAGUCUGAUGCAGCAACGCCCGCGUGCGGGGAUGACGGCCCUUUCGGGGUUGUAAAAC
rnacentral:rRNA from 2 species